UACGUAGGGGGCGAGCGUUGUCCGGAGUUACUGGGCGUAAAGGGCAUGCAGGCGGUCCGACACGUUUUGUGUGACAGCGGGUGGCUUAACUACCCGAGGAUGCGAAAGACGGUUGGACUUGAGGACUCGAGAGGGACACGGAAUUCCGGGUGGAGUGGUGAAAUGCGUAGAGAUCCGGAGGAACACCGAAGGCGAAGGCAGUGUCCUGGCGAGUGACUGACGCUGAGGUGCGAAAGCGUGGGGAGCGAACAGG
rnacentral:rRNA from 1 species